UCAUAUCACAUUGAAAUACCAGUUUCCAUAUGAUCACCAAAGUUAAGCAACAUCGAACCUGGUCAGUAUCUUGAUGGGUGACGACUUGGGAAUACCAGGUGCUGUAAG